CGGCAUGCCUUACACAUGCAAGUCGAACGGCAGCACGGGAGCAAUCCUGGUGGCGAGUGGCGAACGGGUGAGUAAAGUAUCGGAACGUACCGUAGAGUGGGGGAUAACGUAGCGAAAGUUACGCUAAUACCGCAUAUUCCUGAGGGGGAAAGCAGGGGAUCGCAAGACCUUGUGCUCUUUGAGCGGCCGAUAUCAGAUUAGCUAGUUGGUGAGGUAAAGGCUCACCAAGGCGACGAUCUGUAGCGGGUCUGAGAGGAUGAUCCGCCACACUGGAACUGAGACACGGUCCAGACUCCUACGGGAGGCAGCAGUGGGGAAUUUUGGACAAUGGGCGCAAGCCUGAUCCAGCCAUGCCGCGUGAGUGAAGAAGGCCUUCGGGUUGUAAAGCUCUUUCGGCCGGGAAGAAAUCGCAUCGGUUAAUACCCGGUGUGGAUGACGGUACCGGAAUAAGAAGCACCGGCUAACUACGUGCCAGCAGCCGCGGUAAUACGUAGGGUGCGAGCGUUAAUCGGAAUUACUGGGCGUAAAGCGUGCGCAGGCGGUUUGUUAAGAUAGGCGUGAAAUCCCCGGGCUCAACCUGGGAACUGCGCUUAUGACUGGCAAGCUAGAGUACGGCAGAGGGGGGUGGAAUUCCACGUGUAGCAGUGAAAUGCGUAGAGAUGUGGAGGAACACCAAUGGCGAAGGCAGCCCCCUGGGUCGAUACUGACGCUCAUGCACGAAAGCGUGGGUAGCAAACAGGAUUAGAUACCCUGGUAGUCCACGCCCUAAACGAUGUCAACUAGGUGUUGGGAGGGUAAAACCUUUUAGUACCGGAGCUAACGCGUGAAGUUGACCGCCUGGGGAGUACGGCCGCAAGGUUAAA
rnacentral:rRNA from 1 species